GCCAUCAUAGCUCAGUGGCAGAGCACUGGUCUCGUAAUCCAGAUGUCGUGAGUUCGAUUCUCACUGGUGGCU